rnacentral:misc_RNA from 1 species
CAUUGGAUACAGUAUUUUUUGUUGAUGAUGAUGAUCUAGCUGCUAAUGUAUUCAUUUCAGCUUCUGUGUCAGAUUUAUGAUGAUGAUGAAAAGGGAUUAUCAGCAAUUGUUGCUAAUGUACUGUCUUCAUGUGCUAUUUCCAUACGCAUAUUUAUGUCCUUCAAAUUUGAGUUGAUUUUUCUUAUUUUUCUACUUUUAGUUGAUGGUGAUAUUGAAGAUGAUCAAGGUGGUAUGGUGUAGAUUAUGAACUAAUUUUUUUCCUUUUUUUGAGCCAACAAUGUAGUUAGUACUGUCAUUAAUUCGUUUUUUUUAGUUUCAUUAUUUAUUUUCAUAGGUUUACAUAACGAUGACGGUGGUGAUGAAGAUAUCGAAGACGCUAUUGAUGUAGAUGACCAUUCGAGACUAUGUUUUUAGGCUUGUUUCUUCACUAUUUUUUGGAUACAUUUUUUUGGCUUUUAUUUCUUAGGUUCUAGUGGAAUGAAAAAAUUUGAAAUAAAAUUUCAGUAUUGUAACUUAAUUGAUAGUAUAAAAAUUAACGAUUAAAAAUAAAUUUAUAUCAAUUAAUAUAUAUCCCUUGUAAAAAAAAACAUUAGUAAAAAAAUUAUUAGAA